CCCCCCUUUCUUGGCGCGGACCGGGCAUGCAGGCUUGUUCCCUCUUAUGUACAGAGGCAGAAGAAGAGGGCUCCGCCCUCUAGCCAUCAUGUGUUUGGUGCCUGCAGCCUUCCGCCUGGGGUUAUAUCCUCAUACGCUGGACACCA